rnacentral:rRNA from 1 species
GACGAAGGAUGCAAGCGUUGUCCGGAAUUAUUGGGCGUAAAGAGCGUGUAGGCGGCCCCGUUAGUCCGCUGUGAAAGUCCAGGGCUCAACCUGGAAUGCCGGGUGGAUACUGCGGGGCUAGAGUCCGGAAGGGGCGAGUGGAAUUCCUGGUGUAGCGGUGAAAUGCGCAGAUAUCAGGAGGAACACCGGUGGCGGAAGGCGGCCAUCGUGGCUCGGAUACUGAC